AUGACUGCUAUCAGACAUGGUCUCCUCAGCUUGUUGGUGUUUGUACUCUGGAUGAAAGGUCUGACUGAUGGAAGUGAUGUUAACCAGACCCCCAUACUGUGGGGGAAGAAGGGUGAAGAUGCAACAAUACACUGUAACCACACGAAGGGUGCUGCUUACAUCGAGAUGUACUGGUAUCAACAGCUGCCAGGGGAGGGAAUGAAGGAAAUAGUUUUUACUUCAGUUAAUUCUCAACAUAAAUAUACAAACGGCUUCAGUGAGGAGAAAUUCCCAGCAGAGAAGAAAAAUGCUCAGACUGGAUCUCUGACAGUAAAGAAGCUGGAGCCUGAAGACAGCGGAGUGUAUUUCUGUUCUGGGGUCAUCUCCAUUUGCUCCUGCUGUCGUCUUUCCCGGAACCUGCGUACUCCCACCCGACUAGAACCGCACACCACAAAGGCGGAGAACCCGCUUAGGUAA